ACCAAGUCUGCGUUAGGGAUAGCAGCGAAAAGCCCGGAGCCUGACGAAGGAAGUGAGGACUUGUAGCGGAUAGCCCGGCCCGGA
rnacentral:sRNA from 1 species